CGGAAGGAUCAUUACUGAGUUGUCCACUGAGCUGGUGGCUGGUCCUCAAACAUGGGGGGCAUGUGCACGCUCUGUUCACACAUCCACUCACACCUGUGCACCCUCUGUAGUUCUAUGGUCUGGGGGGACACCUGUCUCCCUCCUGUGGUUCUACGUCUUUACACAUACACCGUAGCAAAGUCUUAUGGAAUGUGCACCGCGUUUAACGCAAUACAAUACAACUUUCAGCAACGGAUCUCUUGGCUCUCGCAUCGAUGAAGAACGCAGCGAAAUGCGAUAAGUAAUGUGAAUUGCAGAAUUCAGUGAAUCAUCGAAUCUUUGAACGCACCUUGCGCCCCUUGGCUAUUCCGAGGGGCAUGCCUGUUUGAGUAUCAUGAACACCUCAACUCUCCCGGUUUGCCGUGAUGAGCUUGGACUUUUGGGGGUUUUGCUUGGCCUACGGUCGGCUCCUCUGAAACGGAUCAGCUUGCCAGUGUUUGGCGGCGUCACGGGUGUGAUAACUAUCUACGCUUGUGAUUGCUUGCUGAGCAACCUCUGGAGACGGAGGUUCGCUGGAGCUUAUAAAUGUCUCUCCUCAGCGAAGACAGCUUUUUGACCGUUCGAUCUC
rnacentral:rRNA from 1 species